rnacentral:tRNA from 2 species
GGCCAGUUAGCUCAGUUGGUUAGAGCAUGGUGCUGAUAAUGCCAAGUUCGUGGGUUCGUUCCCCGUACAGGUCA